rnacentral:lncRNA from 13 species
AUGAAGUCUUUGAAACGUCCAUCAGAAUCAGACAUGAGAGGAUCUGAGGACUGUUCCCAGAUCAGAUUUCUGUCUCUAGACCCAACCUGCAGUCAAACUGCCAACCUGGUGUUCUGGGAGGCAGAAGGUUGGGACAAAGUUCUGGGUCUGACAGACAGUUUGUGUGUAACUGGCACUCUUCAGCUGCCAGUAGAGCCAGGGGCAGACCUCACCUCUCCUCUGGUGGGACUCAGACACACAGACAGAGGUGGAAGAAGACUGAUACAAGGAUGUCUCCAGUUCUGAGAGCCACCUUCUCGUGCUACUUCCUUCCUGUGGGUGCGGGCCCUGCCGUAAGCAUUGUCCACUAUAGCCAUAUAUUCCUGUCCGCUCACUUACAGUAGCUCAAACACACUACCCUGCUCUAUUUACUCUGCACAGCACAGUUCAAUGUAGCGCAAAGCAACACAAUGUAGUUCUGCUUCGGAAAGCACAUUACUGGACAUAGGUGAAGUCAUUGAUGGAUUGGAUAGUAAGAGAAUGCAACUUUCUCUGAUAGUGGGUGCCAGUUUAGUCUAUCCACCAUACCGUUCCAUCCAGGAGAGACUAGAAUACAUAAUGGAGAUAAUGUAUUUUCUAAUGUGCUGUGGUCUGAACCUAACACUCAGACCACAGAUGCAUGCCCUUCAACUGAUCGCUGCCCGCACCUGCCCGCCCGUUCAGCAUCAUUACUCUGGACGGUUCUGACUUAGAAUAUGUGGACAACUACAAAUACCUAGGUGUCUGGCUAGACUGUAAACCCUCCUUCCAGACUCAUAUUAAGCAUCUCCAAUCCAAAAUUAAAUCUAGAAUCGACUUCUUAUUUCACAACAAAAAGCAUCCUUCACUCAUACUGCCAAACAUACCAUCGUAAAACGGACUAUCCUGCCGAUCCUUAACUUUGACGAUGUCAUUUACAAAAUAGCCUCCAACACUCUACUCUGCAAAUUGGAUGCAGUCUAUUACAGUGCCAUCCGUUUUGUCACCAAAGCCCCAUAUACUAUCCACCACUGUGACCUGUAUGCUCUCGUUCGCUGGCCCUCACUUCACAUUCGUCGCCAAACCCACUGGCUCCAGGUCAUCUAUACGUCUCUGCUAGGUAAAGCCCUGCCUUAUCUCAGCUCACUGGUCUCCAUAGCAGCACCCACCCGUAGCACACGCUCCAGCAGGUUUAUUUCACUGGUCACCCACAAAGCCAAUUCCUCGUUGGCUGCCUUUCCUUCCAGUUCUCUGCUGCCAAUGACCUGAACGAAUUGCAAAAAUCACUGAAGCUGGAGACUCAUAUCUCCCUCACUAACUUUAAUCAUCAGCUGUCAGAGCAGCUCACAGAUCAUUGCACCUGUACAUAGCCCAUCUGUAAAUAUCCCAUCCAAGUAUCUCAUCCCCAUAUUGUUAUUUAUUUAUUCACUCCUUUGCACCCCAGAUUCUCUAAUUACACAUUCAUCUUCUGCACAUCUAUCACUCCAGUGUUUAAUUGCUAAAUUGUAGUUACUUCGCCAUGACUUCCUAUGUAUUGCCUUACCUCCCUAAUCUUACCUCAUUGGGCACACACUGUAUAUAGAUUUUUUUCUAUUGUGUUAUUUACUGUAUGUUUGUUUAUUCCUGUAACGGCUUUCUUACUGGGAAGGAGAGGCGGAUCAAAACGCAGCGUGGUUAGAGUUCAUGUUAAUUUAAUAAGUUAACUAAAACAUGAACAGGAUACAAAACAAUAAACGUGAAAACCUGAAACAGUCCUAACUGGUGCAUAAAACACAAAGACAGGAAACAAUCACCCACAAAAACCCAACACAAAACAGGCUACCUAAAUAUGGUUCCCAAUCAGAGACAAUGACUAACACCUGCCUCUGAUUGAGAACCAUAUCAGGCCAAACAUAGAAAUAGACAAACCAGACACACAACAUAGAAUGCCCACCCAGCUCACAUCCUGACCAACACUAAAACAAGGAAAACACAAAAGAACUAUGGUCAGAACGUGACAAUUCCAUGUGUAACUCUGCGUUGUUGUUUGUGUUGCACUGCUUUGCUUUAUCUUGGCCAGGUCGCAGUUCUAAAUGAGAACUUGUUCUGAACUGGCCUACCUGGUGAAAUAAAGGUGAAAUAAAUAAAAACAAAUAAAAGACCAUAGGCACGCUAUAUCACAGAGAAGCAGACAGCUAGAUGACAUCACAUUAUUUUGAGGUGGUAGGUAGCCUUGAGGUGGUAGACAGCCUCUCGCUGUCUCUCUCUGCCUCUCCCAGCCUCUCUCUGUCUCUCUCUGCCUCUCUCAGCCUCUCUAUGUCUCUCUCUGCCUCUCCCAGCCUCUCUCUGUCUCUCUCUGCCUCUCCCAGNNNNNNNNNNGGGGGGGGGGGGGGGGCUAAUGGAAUGCCAGUUUCAGCAAUACAGUAAUAUGUCAAUGUGAUAUUUCAUAAUUAUUUUCUACACAUUUGCAAAAAAUUGAAAAAACUGUUUUUGCUUUAACAUUAUUGGAUAUUAUGUGUAGAUUGAUGAGAAAAAUAAACAAUUCAAUCCAUUUUUUAAAAAGGCUGUAACGUAAUACAAUGUGGAAAAGUCAAGAGUUCUGAAUACUUUCCGAAUGCACUGUGUGUGUGUGUGUGUGUGUGUGUGUGUGUGUGUGUGUGUGUGUGUGUGUGUGUGUGUGUGUGUGUGUGUGUGUGUGUGUGUGUGUGUUGUUUGUACAUGUGUGUAUUUGUGCAUGGGCAUGAACAUUGAUCAGCUCUGUGACAGCAGGGCCAUUAUGAUAUUUCUAUGAAGAAUGUGAAGCAUAAUGUUGGUAUGGUUGCUCCACUAACCCCCCUUUUCCACAAAAGCCGCUCCUGGAGAAUGUCAAGGGCCCAGUGAUAUGAAGGGGUUAAGGGGCAGUGGUGGCCUAUAAGGGGUUGGGGGACANNNNNNNNNNGUCACUGCAUGGUGGGGGGUGGGGGGUAUGUGUGUGUGUGUGUGUGUUUGCGUUUAUGUGUCGUUAAGUAGUUGUUACAAUGCAGUGGGGAGAGGGAGAGUGAGAGACUUUUCAGGGUUUUUCCACCAUACUGCCUGCACUGGACACUGGCCCUCUCUUUAACUCUUUAACCACAGAGGCCAGACUCAUUCAGACUGCACCUUAAAACAUAUACUGUAGACGUCCUGCUUGGCUAAGGAAAAAUAAUGAAUAAGCUCAGUAAGAAAGCUACAUUAGGAAGUUAGGGAAAAUCAGUGAGUAUUACACUGUAAAUGAAAAGACUUGGCCUCUCCUCGGGCAGUAAAGCGCAGUGCUUAAAUCAUUGAGUGAGAGGAAGAGAAAUUAUGAUUCUCCUAUGAUGACUGCUGGAUGUAGAAGCCACUUGCCUCAGUCCCCACUGUCUUUCUGCCAGAUGACAUUCUCAUUCUCUCUCUCUCUCUCUCUCUCUCUCCUUCUAUCCCUGUAUACUGUAUAUACUGUAAAUAUCUCUCUUCCCCCCUUCUAUCUCUUCUUCCCCCGGCCAGGACGCUGAGAGCUGAGAUGAGGAGAUCACUCUCCUUGACACAUUCCAGUGGCCCAGUGGUGGCCCCAUAAAGUUUGCCCCUUAGGGUUGUAAUGAUGUGAAAAACAACCCUGGAAGCAACAGUCAUAAAGGUGCAUUCAAAUCUUUUCCCCAGGUGACCUGUGUGACUAUUUAUGUACUGACAUGUACUGUAUGUGUAACUGAUAGAUGCGCGCAAUCUGUAUUGCUGAAGUGGGAGAGUUUGCACACUAUAAAUGUUAAGGCAGUUUCCGAUUGAGCUGCCUUUAAAUUUAAAUCACGCUGUAACGCUGUACUUCUGUGAUACAGAUUGAAUAGAGCGCUUAUAUUUGUACCAUAGGCCUACACAUUCUCCCAAAAAUACCAUAAUUUAAAAAAUCUUUCUGUAAAUGUUGCUAUUCCUUGCUAUGUUACGCACCCCAACAUUAUUUCUGAGAGAGAAAGAGUGUGUGUGUCUGUGUGCGUGCGUGAGUGUUUUGUGUAUAUUUGGGGGAAAGGAGAGCUGAUAUUGGUUAAGGAGGAGAGGUGGUCUGUGAAGACAGUUCAAAGUUCAAGGCCAAAGUUGACAUGGUGCACUGUAUUACUUCCAAAGUUCUUUGUGGAUUGUUAUGUCAGAUUGUUUUUAACACAAUAAAAUACCCAGUUACUUUACAUCUGAGGAGUUUAUUGUCAUAUGUCGUCUACUAUGUUUUACACUACUACUGAAUAUUACAGCACAACAAUGGUAUUUAGGCCUGCAGCCUUACAUCAACAGCCAACAACUAUGCAAUUGGUAUUUCGUACACAGGANNNNNNNNNNAUCACGCUGUAACGCUGUACUUCUGUGAUACAGAUUGAAUAGAGCGCUUAUAUUUGUACCAUAGGCCUACACAUUCUCCCAAAAAUACCAUAAUUUAAAAAAUCUUUCUGUAAAUGUUGCUAUUCCUUGCUAUGUUACGCACCCCAACAUUAUUUCUGAGAGAGAAAGAGUGUGUGUGUCUGUGUGCGUGCGUGAGUGUUUUGUGUAUAUUUGGGGGAAAGGAGAGCUGAUAUUGGUUAAGGAGGAGAGGUGGUCUGUGAAGACAGUUCAAAGUUCAAGGCCAAAGUUGACAUGGUGCACUGUAUUACUUCCAAAGUUCUUUGUGGAUUGUUAUGUCAGAUUGUUUUUAACACAAUAAAAUACCCAGUUACUUUACAUCUGAGGAGUUUAUUGUCAUAUGUCGUCUACUAUGUUUUACACUACUACUGAAUAUUACAGCACAACAAUGGUAUUUAGGCCUGCAGCCUUACAUCAACAGCCAACAACUAUGCAAUUGGUAUUUCGUACACAGGAUGGCAUCCCUGUAUCGACAGAGGAGAGGGGGGGCUCUGUGCCUGUACUGUGGGG